rnacentral:rRNA from 1 species
UACGGGGGGGGCAAGCGUUGUUCGGAAUUACUGGGCGUAAAGGGCUCGUAGGCGGCCAACUAAGUCAGACGUGAAAUCCCUCGGCUUAACCGGGGAACUGCGUCUGAUACUGGAUGGCUUGAGAUUGGGAGAGGGAUGCGGAAUUCCAGGUGUAGCGGUGAAAUGCGUAGAUAUCAGGAAGAACACCCGUGGCGAAGGCGGCGCUCUAGUACGGUACUGACGCUGAGGCGCGACAGCGUGGGGAGCAAACAGG